UUAUCUCUGUAGAGUCUGCAUAUCAAUAAGCGGAGGAAAAGAAACUAACAAGGAUUCCCCUAGUAACGGCGAGUGAAGCGGGAAGAGCUCAAAUUUGAAAUCUUCAAGGUUUGACCUUGACGAAUUGUAGUUUAAAGAAGUGUUUUCGGUUAGAGGAGUAGUAAAAGUUCCUUGGAAUAGGACAUCAUAGAGGGUGAGAAUCCCGUAUUUGACUAUUCUUUCUAGCUUUGUGAUACACUUUCAAAGAGUCGGAUUGUUUGGGAAUGCAGUCCAAAAUGGGUGGUAAAUUUCAUCUAAAGCUAUAAUAUUGGCGAGAGACCGAUAGCGAACAAGUACCGUGAGGGAAAGAUGAAAAGAACUUUGAAAAGAGAGUUAAACAGUACGUGAAAUUGUCAAAAGGGAAGCGUUUGACACCAGUGUUGUUUUUCCGAAAAUCAAUUAAAAAUUGAUUCAUGCCAGGUUGUAUUGACCUUAUCAGCUUGCAAUUUGGUUUUGGGUCUCUUUUUGAUGCACUUUUCGGUUAACAAGUCAACAUCAAUUUCCUUUGCUGUAAAAAGGUGAGAGGAAGGUGGCUUCAAUUUCGGUUGAAGUGUUUAUAGCCUUUUAUCUCUGCAGUCGGGGAGAUUGAGGUCUGCAGCGUAGAUCCUUCGGGGCUAGAUACAUUUAUGCUAAGUUAUAGCUUUUCAUAGACAACUUGUCGACUAUGUUUAGUCAUGUAGCUUACUCGUAAGUGCUAUUUUACCUACGCUUAGGAUGUUGAGCGCAUGUCUCUCUCU
rnacentral:rRNA from 1 species